rnacentral:rRNA from 1 species
AUGGCCGCCGGCCACACUGCCCACGCCGCCGUCCUAUGCCAGGUCCGGCCACCGCCCUAUGCCACGUCGCUCCCCCCCUCCGCGGUUGCUGCUAGUAGGAGCUCGCCGGAGCCCCUGGCCGGCUCCUCCCGCGUCCUCUGCCUCGCCGCCGGAGCCGGCAACGCCGUCGACGCGCUCCAUGCAGCGGGGGUAAGCGAAGUGACCGGGAUCGACCUCGUGGACUUCCCGCCGCUCGUUCGUCGCGCAGACCCCCAUCGCCUCCCAUUCUCUGACGGCGCCUUCGAUCUCAUCUUUUCCGACGACCCGGCGGGGAUCUCCGGCGCGCUCUUCCCGGCUCGCGUCGCCGCGGAGGCCGAGCGCGCUGUCCGCCGCGGAGGCGCCAUCGCCCUCGCCGUGGAGCUCGCCGGCCCGCCAUAG